rnacentral:rRNA from 1 species
UGGGGAAUAUUGGACAAUGGGCGAAAGCCUGAUCCAGCAAUGCCGCGUGAGUGAUGAAGGCCUUAGGGUUGUAAAGCUCUUUUACCAGGGAUGAUAAUGACAGUACCUGGAGAAUAAGCUCCGGCUAACUCCGUGCCAGCAGCCGCGGUAAUACGGAGGGAGCUAGCGUUGUUCGGAAUUACUGGGCGUAAAGCGCGCGUAGGCGGUUUAUCAAGUCAGGGGUGAAAUCCCGGGGCUCAACCCCGGAACUGCCCUUGAAACUGGUUCACUAGAAUCCUGGAGAGGCGAGUGGAAUUCCGAGUGUAGAGGUGAAAUUCGUAGAUAUUCGGAAGAACACCAGUGGCGAAGGCGACUCGCUGGACAGGUAUUGACGCUGAGGUGCGAAAGCGUGGGGAGCAAACA